UGUGCAUGGCUAGCUACUUUUCUUAAUGGCUAUGAUUUAAGUAUUUGGGAUUUAGAGACUGAUGUGACUUUUUCCUCAUGGAACGGGAUCCUUUGCGGGGUGCUAUGCAUAUUUUGGGACAUCCAUCAAAAAAGGGAUGGUUAUAUGAUGUUUAUCUAAACUAUUUAAACAUCCCUAGGAUUUAUCCAUUCUUCUUUUCUUAGUAUUUUAACACGCGUGUGUAAGCACGCACAGCCACCCAUCUCCUAAUGGAUGUCUCCGAAGCAUGCACAGCACCACAGAGGAUCCAUUUUCUUUCCUCAUGUGGCUAGUGUC
rnacentral:lncRNA from 1 species